AGCAGCCGCGGUAAUUCAAGCUCCAAUAGCGUAUAUUAAAGUUGUUGCAGUUAAAAAGCUCGUAGUUGAAUUUCGGGAUCGAAUUGUUGGUCGUGCUUCGGUACGCACUGGCAUUAUCGGUUUCUACCUUCUGAAGAACCGCGAUGUCAUUAAUUUGGUGUCGUGGGGAAUCAGGACUGUUACUUUGAAAAAAUUAGAGUGUUUAAAGCAGGCUUACGCUUGAAUACAUUAGCAUGGAAUAAUGAAAUAGGACGUUUGAUUCUAUUUUGUUGGUUUCUAGGAUCGACGUAAUGAUUAAUAGGGAUAGUUGGGGGCAUUAGUAUUCAAUUGUCAGAGGUGAAAUUCUUGGAUUUAUUGAAGACUAACUACUGCGAAAGCAUUUGCCAAGGAUGUUUUCAUUAAUCAAGAACGAAAGUUAGGGGAUCGAAGACGAUCAGAUACCGUCGUAGUCUUAACCAUAAACUAUGCCGACUAGGGAUCGGAUGAUGUUAAUUUUAUAAUGACUC
rnacentral:rRNA from 1 species